GGGGACCUUCGGGCCUCUUGCCAUCGGAUGUGCCCCGAUGGGAUUAGCUAGUAGGUGGGGUAACGGCUCACCUAGGCGACGAUCCCUAGCUGGUCUGAGAGGAUGACCAGCCACACUGGAACUGAGACACGGUCCAAACUACUACGGGAGGCAGCAGUGGGGAAUAUUGCACAAUGGGCGCAAGCCUGAUGCAGCCAUGCCGCGUGUAUGAAGAAGGCCUUCGGGUUGUAAAGUACUUUCAGCGGGGAGGAAGGGAGUAAAGUUAAUACCUUUGCUCAUUGACGUUACCCGCAGAAGAAGCACCGGCUAACUCCGUGCCAGCAGCCGCGGUAAUACGGAGGGUGCAAGCGUUAAUCGGAAUUACUGGGCGUAAAGCGCACGCAGGCGGUUUGUUAAGUCAGAUGUGAAAUCCCCGGGCUCAACCUGGGAACUGCAUCUGAUACUGGCAAGCUUGAGUCUCGUAGAGGGGGGUAGAAUUCCAGGUGUAGCGGUGAAAUGCGUAGAGAUCUGGAGGAAUACCG
rnacentral:rRNA from 1 species